CUCUUUUGUCCAUGCUUGAGGACGUCGAACCCAAAAAUUGCACCUCAUAUGCUGACUUGCCCGAGUAUUGGCCACUCAGCAUGACCAUCCAAACGAUGCCUUCUUCCACCUCGGGGUCACGAUGGAUAUUGCUAAGACGCGUCCAAAGCUCAACAAAUUGGAAGAAAUGCGUAAAUUCUGAUGGUCUUAGUAACAGGCUUGGCUGAAGAUUUGAUGGUCUUCCUAGGCCCAAGCUCCAAAAAUAACAAGCUCCACGACGGUAUGGAUUUUUGCAAUCUAUGCUUAAACAAAUAUGUAGAAUCUAAUUGAGAGGUUGCUUUCAUAAUAUCCCAGACGAGGCACAUGUAUUUUCAGAAGGCUUUUGCAAAUUCGCACUGGAUGAUCAGCAGUCUUCUGACCAAAAUCAUUGCACAUAAAACAUGUGCAAUCAGUAAGCAACGCUGGUGAUGAUGAUCACGGGAUGAACACAGCGGAUGAACACGACGAUGUAGUGGAUGAUAACUUGUAUGACGCAAUGAGUGACAUAGGCAUCCCCAAUGGGCCUGCCAAAGAUAGUACCCGGGGUUUAUUGAAGGCCCACUACCCGAAGAAUAAGAAGACUCGGAAGCCCAAGAUAUUGUUGAGGAAAGCUAGAAGCAAAAUAAGGUGUUGCCACCCGGUGGCACUACCCCCUCGGUCGAUGCCGUCCGUUCCUGCGUUGUGAUUCGUGCUCCUUGCGUGUGUUUGUAUCAAGUCCAUGCACUAAUUAGCAGAGACACUGCAAAUCACCUACCCGAACACAGCAUAUCGCAGCGCUGCAGUGCGUCAGGUGAAAACAGUCAAGAAUCAAAUCGACGCUGGCUUUUAGCAUGCAUUCCGCUGAGUCUUGCAGUAUGGCAGACUGGCAGUGAUAAGACUCCUUGAUAUCCGCCGCCCUAUGUGUAGAAAAGGUGUGGUGAAGAGUGAAUUUCUGAUUUGCAUGCUAGGAAGUGUUUUACAAUGAUUGUUGGUAGGUGGCCGUGUUGGUCUCUUACAGUGAAGUACAACUUUGUUCCUCAUUUACUGCAAGCAAUACUUGGUACA